CCCCUCUCAGGGUCACAUCUGGAGAGUUUCCAGUACUCUACCAGUCUCGACUAUGGGAAGAAGAGUCAAGCAGAGGCAUACCCAUUCCAUUCCUAGCUUUGGCUAGUGAGUGGAAGGCAAUCUGCUACAAGU